GGGUGACUAGUGACAGAGUGAGGGAGUAAUUAGUGACAGAGUGAGGGAGAGGGUGACUAGUGACAGAGUGAGGGAGGUGGUGACUGUCACUAGUCACCCCAUCCCUCCCUCUGUCACUAGUCACAAGUCAUCCCCUCACUCUGUCACUAGUCACCCCCUCCCUCUGUCACUGUGUCACCCCAUCCCUCCCUAUGUCACUAGUCAUCCCCUCCCUUACUCUGUCACUAGUCACCCC